rnacentral:misc_RNA from 1 species
GAAAUGCGAUAAGUAAUGUGAAUUGCAGAAUUCAGUGAAUCAUCGAAUCUUUGAACGCACAUUGCGCCCCUUGGUAUUCCGAGGGGCAUGCCUGUUCGAGCGUCAUUACAACCCUCAAGCUCUGCUUGGUAUUGGGCCUCACCCGUCAGGGCGUGCCUUAAAAUCAGUGGCGGUGCCAUCUGGCUCUAAGCGUAGUAAUUUUUCUCGCUAUAGGGUCCUGUGGAUGCUUGCCAGCAACCCCAAUUUUUCUAUGGUUGACCUCGGAUCAGGUAGGGAUACCCGCUGAACUUAA